rnacentral:rRNA from 1 species
UACGUAGGGUGCGAGCGUUAAUCGGAAUUACUGGGCGUAAAGUGUGCGCAGGCGGCCGAGCAAGUCGAGUGUGAAAGCCCCGGGCUUAACUUGGGAAUUGCGCUCGAAACUACUUGGCUGGAGUGUGGCAGAGGGGGGUGGAAUUCCACGUGUAGCGGUGAAAUGCGUAGAGAUGUGGAGGAACACCAAUGGCGAAGGCAGCCUCCUGGGCCAAUACUGACACUCAUGCACGAAAGCGUGGGGAGCAAACAGG